rnacentral:rRNA from 1 species
CAGGAUGAACGCUAGCUACAGGCUUAACACAUGCAAGUCGAGGGGUAGCAGGGUAGCAAUACCGCUGACGACCGGCGCACGGGUGAGUAACACGUAUCCAACCUUCCCAUAACUCAGGGAUAGCCUUUCGAAAGAAAGAUUAAUACCUGAUAGUACUUUUUCAAGGCAUCUUGAGAAAGUUAAAGAUUUAUUGGUUAUGGAUGGGGAUGCGUUCCAUUAGAUAGUUGGUGAGGUAACGGCUCACCAAGUCUUCGAUGGAUAGGGGUUCUGAGAGGAAGGUCCCCCACAUUGGUACUGAGACACGGACCAAACUCCUACGGGAGGCAGCAGUGAGGAAUAUUGGUCAAUGGGCGAGAGCCUGAACCAGCCAAGUAGCGUGAAGGAUGAAGGUCCUAUGGAUUGUAAACUUCUUUUAUAGUAGAAUAAAGUGAUCCACGUGUGGAUUUUGUAUGUAUACUAUGAAUAAGGAUCGGCUAACUCCGUGCCAGCAGCGGC